rnacentral:rRNA from 1 species
AAUUGCAGGAUCCCGUGAACCAUCGAGUCUUUGAACGCAAGUUGCGCCNGAAGCCAUUAGGCCGAGG